UGAAUAACAUGUAUGUGUACAUUUAUUUUGCAACGCGGUGUGGUCAGCAUGUAACUGUGGAACAAGUUUCAGUUUUGAUUAUGGGUGAUAGGUACAAUUUCCCCGAUAUGACGUGUAUACGACGUGUGUGGCUAGGGCAUAAAACACAGGAGGGUUUCAGGAAAUCAGUUAAGAGAUUAUCUGCCAUUAUAACCACAGUUCUUUCUCUUUCAAAACGUGUUGCUUGUUGCCAGCAUCAUUACAGAAACACCAAGAAGCUCCAAUUGACUAGACCUAGAGGAAACCGUGCUAUGGUAAUCUGAGGCAGAUGUAAAAUGAACGGUUCAAAACAAAAGUACAGGAAGUAUUAUGUGAUUGAUACUAAAGGCUCUAUUCAAUCUGUGUCGUGGAAUUGUUACAAAUAGAGCGCUAGAAAUGUAACGGUAAUUUCCUUUUUGUGACGACAUCUGCAGCGUCUACGUUAAUGCGGGAACAUUGCCUUUACAUUUGAUGUAACACUGAAUUGACUCGAUACAGAGUGAAUAGAGCCAUAAGAAGAGUAUUUUGUGUGCGUGGUUGUAAAAAAAAAAAAAGUAUUAUUCAUUAUUUGUGACUAUUCUGUUUUCUACUAUUUCUCUGUGAGCUUCUUUUUCUACACUCUACCUUUCUGAUGGCUGAAAAGCAAAAAAUAUGGCUGAAAAGCAAAAAAUAGGGCUGAAAAGCAACAACCGGCUGAAAAGCAACAACCGGCUGAAAAGCAACAACCGGCUUGAGUGCCACUGUCAGAUAAGUCAUCUUCUGUCAAGUAUACUUUCAAUAAUGUUCACACAAAGAAGAUAGCAUAUUAUGUGCAUUUAUGUCAGACAGUCAUAAUCAAUCAUUUAAUGUUAAUGACAGGAUUUAACUUCAUGCAUCAAAACAUUUGGGCCAAAAGUCUGCAAUACAUUAAUUUGAGAAAAAAUGUCCCCAGGAUUAUGAAAAGAGAGACAACACUUUCCCAGGGGCAAUGGAGAAAAGGAACAGGGACCUUAUCGAUCUCAACCCUCAAUCCCAACAUCUACACCUGUGUGGUGAAGGAGAGGAUAUGGACUGGGAAUGUGCAGUCACCACAAGUAUUGAUCAAGAAAUGGGAGUGACCUGCUGCUGGGAAGAGGAGAAAAUGGACUGGAUCUCAUCAAGCAAUCCAAAUUUCUGCGUCUGGAGAGAAAGAGAAGAUGAAGAUGAUGAAGCCUAAAAGGUGUCAACUGGAUGGAUUGUCAUCAAAACUUAUUUGCAUUAAGGCCAGGAAAUUGGUGCACAACGCAGCUGUAUUUUGCACCUCCACCCAGUACAGCCAGAAGAGGACUGGCCACCCC